rnacentral:rRNA from 1 species
GACGAACGCUGGCGGCGUGCUUAACACAUGCAAGUCGAACGGAAAGGCCCUGCUUUUGUGGGGUGCUCGAGUGGCGAACGGGUGAUUAACACGUGAGUAACCUGCCCUUGACUUUGGGAUAACUUCAGGAAACUGAGGCUAAUACCGGAUAGGAGCUCCUGCUGCAUGGUGGGGGUUGGAAAGUUUCGGCGGUUGGGGAUGGACUCGCGGCUUAUCAGCUUGUUGGUGGGGUAGUGGCUUACCAAGGCUUUGACGGGUAGCCGGCCUGAGAGGGUGACCGGGCACAUUGGGACUGAGAUACGGCCCAGACUCCUACGGGAGGCAGCAGUGGGGAAUAUUGCACAAUGGGCGGAAGCCUGAUGCAGCAACGCCGCGUGCGGGAUGACGGCCUUCGGGUUGUAAACCGCUUUCGCCUGUGACGAAGCGUGAGUGACGGUAAUGGGUAAAGAAGCACCGGCUAACUACGUG